AUUGAACGCUGGCGGCAGGCUUAACACAUGCAAGUCGAGCGAGCGGCGGACGGGUGAGUAAUGUCUGGGAAACUGCCUGAUGGAGGGGGAUAACUACUGGAAACGGUAGCUAAUACCGCAUACCAUCAGAUGUGCCCAGAUGGGAUUAGCUAGUAGGUGGGGUAAUGGCUCACCUAGGCGACGAUCCCUAGCUGGUCUGAGAGGAUGACCAGCCACACUGGAAUGAUGACACGGUCCAGACUCCGACGGGAGGCAGCAGUGGUGAAGAUUGCACAAUGGGCGCAAGCCGGAUGCAGCCAUGCCGCGUGUGUGAAGAAGGCCUUCUGGUUGGAAAGCACUUUCAGCGAGGAGGCGUUACUCGCAGAAGAAGCACCGGCUAACUCCGUGCCAGCAGCCGCGGUAAUUC
rnacentral:rRNA from 1 species